UGCAUGAAGUCGGAAUUGCUGUAAUCGCGGAUCAGCAUGCCGCGGUGAAUACGUUCCCGGGCCUUGUACACACCACCCGUCACACCAUGGGAGCCGGUAAUACCCGAAGUCAGUAGUCCAACCUCGUGAGGACGCUGCCGAAGGUAGGAUUGGCGACUGGGGUGAAGUCGUAACAAGGUACC
rnacentral:rRNA from 1 species